CCGCGCCAACGAGCGGAGACCAGUUGAGCGCGAGACUCCGAGCCGAACGGUUGUACGCACGGACGCAGCCCGGUGACUAAAUCUACGAUACGAUUUCGUACCAAGCAUUUCGUAACAUAGUUUUUGCCCUUAAUCGGAAGUAUUCACUGUCAUAUUUCGCUAUUGCCUACUCUCUGAAAUAGUCGGAUAUAUUAAUACAAUUAUUUCGAACUUGUGACAAGUGACACGUAAUCGCGUAUGUGGUGAUCGAUUGUCAUCGAGUCUAAACAGUGACUCUGUGGAUUUCUCAAGUUGGCGUUUUGACGUUUCUCCGAGGGAAUUCGAGUGGCAGAAAGCAUCGUGUCAUCCGGUACCCACCGGUGAUGCAUCACUGUCGCAUCGAGCGUGUAGAAGAAACGACUGGCAAAUCGACUCACCAAUCGCCGACUAUAAUGCCCGCGUAACGAGCAAUCGACAAUCGAGAAAGCCAGAGUGAACGGAAGCUCGAGUAGGG